CAGAACAGGAGCAUAGAAAGGC
rnacentral:miRNA from 1 species